GCCAGAGUGAUGGAAUUGGCAUACGUGCGCGACUCAAAAUCGUGAUUUUGUGGGUUCGAGUCCCACCUCUGGCACCA
rnacentral:tRNA from 1 species